CUUGGUCAUUUAGAGGAAGUAAAAGUCGUAACAAGGUCUCCGUUGGUGAACCAGCGGAGGGAUCAUUACAGAGUUGCAAAACUCCCUAAACCAUUGUGAACGUUACCUAAACCGUUGCUUCGGCGGGCGGCCCGGGUCCUUCCCGGCGCCCCUCGGCCCUCGCGGGCGCCCGCCGGAGGUAAACCAAACUAUUGCAUUGUAUGGCCUCUCUGAGUCUUCUGUACUGAAUAAGUCAAAACUUUCAACAACGGAUCUCUUGGUUCUGGCAUCGAUGAAGAACGCAGCGAAAUGCGAUAAGUAAUGUGAAUUGCAGAAUUCAGUGAAUCAUCGAAUCUUUGAACGCACAUUGCGCCCGCCAGUAUUCUGGCGGGCAUGCCUGUUCGAGCGUCAUUUCAACCAUCAAGCCCCGGGCUUGUGUUGGGGACCUGCGGCUGCCGCAGGCCCUGAAAUGCAGUGGCGGGCUCGCUGUCACUCCGAGCGUAGUAGUUACAUCUCGCUCUGGGCGUGCUGCGGGUUCCGGCCGUUAAAAGCCUUAUUUACCCAAGGUUGACCUCGGAUCAGGUAGGAAGACCCGCUGAACUUAAGCAUAUCAAUAAGCGGAGGA
rnacentral:sRNA from 1 species